GUGGAUCACGAGGUCAAGAGAUCCAGACCAUCCUGGUCAAUAUGGUGAAACCCUAUCUCUACUAAAAAUACAAAAAAUUAGCUGGGCAUGGUGGCGCGUGCCUGUAAUCCCAGCUACUCAGUAGGCUGAGGGAGGAGAAUUGCCUAAACCCAGGAGGUGGAGGUUGCGGUGAGCCGAGAUCAUGCCAUUGCACUCCAGCCUGGGUAGCAAGAGCGAAACUCCGUCUCAAAAAAAAAGAACCACAAAAUGCCAUGGAUUCUGUCCUAGAGAAACAUGUCUACCAAGGUACUGCUGCUGUUUGCAAAGAGCGCAGCAGCCAAGGAGGUUAAGUAGCUGGAAAGCAGGCAUGGUCAGGUGCUAAGAGGAAGGAGAGGAGGGCAGAGAUUAACUGGCUAAAUCAGAGAAAGCCAAGUCCAGUUAGUAAAUGAUGCGUCUAAGAAUCAAUGCAAGGGUUAGUGUUUUAUAGAACAAUUAUUUACCUCAAGAAGCCAUAAAUUCCAGAUAAAUGGUUAAGUGCUCGUUAUCGAGGCAGUUAAAAUUAAAAAAAAAAAAAAAGAAAAAAAGAAAAAACUUCUCUCCUAAGCUUCAUUACAGUGGAGUCAGUUAUAGGUAAAUUAUGUUGUGCAAGUUUAUCUCCUUUAUUUCAAAUCUUUGAAUUAUCAGACCCCAGAAAACUGAUAUUCUCAACCAACACAAACUUCCACAAAGUCAAAAAGAAGUUUGGGGGAAAAUUCCAGAUAAUAAAAAAGGGUAUUAUCAAUAAUAAGACCUAUGUCUCAAAUAAAAUUCUGCCCAACAAAAUGAAGUCGUUAAAAAUUACAGAAAGCCCCCGCCCCCUCUCAGCACUGCUGGGCCUGUAGGUCUCUGUUGAGCCGCAGACACGGGUCUCUGUUCCGCAGGAUGGGGUUUGUUAAAGUUGUUAAGAAUAAGGUCUACUUUAAGAGAUACCAAGUGAAAUUUAGAAGACAACAAGAGGGUAAAACGGAUUACUAUGCUCGGAAACGCUUGGUGAUACAGGAUAAAAAUAAAUACAACACACCCAAAUACAGGAUGAUAGUUUGUGUAACAAACAGAGAUAUCAUUUGUCAGAUUGCUUAUGCCUGUAUAGGGGGGAUGUGAUAGUCUGCGCAGCAUAUGCACACGAACUGCCAAAAUAUGGUGUGAAGGUUGGCCUGACAAAUUACGCUGCAGCGUAUUAUACUGGCCUGCUGCUGGCCCGCAGGCUUCUCAAUAGGUUUGGCAUGGACAAGAUCUAUGAAGGCCAAGUGGAGGUGACUGGUGAUGAAUACAAUGGGGAAAGUAUUGAUGAUCAGCCAGGUGCCUUUACCCACUAUUUGGAUGCAGGCCUUGCCAGAACUACCACUGGCAAUAAAGUUUUUGGUGCCCUGAAGGGUGCUGUGGAUGGAGGCUUGUCUAUCCCUCAUAGUACCAAGUGAUUCCCUGGUUAUGAUUCUGAAAGCAAGGAAUUUAAUGCAGAAGUACACCGGAAGCACAUCAUGGACCAGAAUGUUGCAGAUUACAUGCGCAACUUAAUGGAAGAUGAUGGAGAUGCUUACAAGAAACAGUUCUUUCAAUACAUAAAGAACAGCAUAACUCCAGACAUGGAGGAGAUGUAUAAGAAAGUUCACGUGGCUAUACGAGAGAAUCCAGUCUAUGAAAAGAAGCCCAAGAAAGAAGUUAAGAAGAGGUGGAACCGCCCCAAAAUGUCCCUUGCUCAGAAGAAAGAUCGGGUAGCUCAAAAGAAGGCAAGCUUCCUCAGAGCUCAGGAGCAGGCUGCUGAGAGCUAAACCAGUUUUCUAUAAGAAUUUUUCAUAUAAAGACAAUAAACUUAUGGACAGCAAUUAAAAGAAAAAUUAAAGAAAGGUCAGGUGCAAAUGGCUCACACUUGUAAUCCCGGUACUUUGGGAGGCCAAAGCAGGCAGAUCAUUUGAACCUAGGGAUUUGUUGACCAGCCUGGGCAAUAUGGCAAAAACCUGUCUCUACAAAAAAUACAAAACUUAGCCAGGUGUGGUGACUUCCACCUGUGGUCCCAGCUACUGGGGAGGCUGAGGUAGAAGGAUCAUCCAAGUCUGGGAGGUCCACGCUGCAGUGAUUUUGCUCUACUGCACUCCAGUCUAGGUGUCAGAGUAAGGCCCUGUCUCCAAAAGAAAACAAAACAAAACACUACAGGAAAACUCUACCAAUGUUAAUAGAAAAUUAUCUUUUUAAUGUAUAAAGAACUGCUAUAAGUAUGAUGCAGCAGGGACAUCAGAAAGCACGAUUUUUGAUUCACUACCACAAACUAGCACUGGAACAAAAAUAAACAGGGCCCCUAACACUGCCAGGAAUGUGGGAAAACAGGUCCUACUUAUAAUUAAUUGCUAAUGGCACUUUUAACUGUUUCAACCUUUCUGAAGAGCACCCAGACAAUGUACCACUAGAUCUAUAAACGUUUUCAAUCCUUUUGUAAGCUAGUUUCUCUUUAAGAAAUAUAUCCCAAGGCCAUGAAUGAGUAGGAAAUGAACCUGACCCUCAGGGGAAGGUCAGAGAUGAGGUGGGUAAUAUGUGAAAAUAUCCAUCACAUCAGACGUGGCCAUCCUCUGGGACAGGGAAAAUGUGCAGGUGAAAUAUGAAUGAUGGCGAUGUUACUGUAGAAUAACUGUCUGGUUCACUGAAAAUAAACUCUGGCAUAUCUUGUGUUCCUGUCAAAUCAUUUUUGGUACCCUAACAGAUCACAAAACACACCAGCACGCUGCCACCCCACAAAGUAACAAACCUCAUCAACAUUAAUAGGUGUUCAAUAAGCAUGUACUGACUUGUACUUCUCCAAACAGCACCUCAUAAUUUACAGACACUCUUAAAUUACCUCUACUUUUUAAACCUUUUUGAAGGCAC